AUGGCCGCAACAUUGCUGAAAAUUUCAUCUAUGCUGCGGAUAUUCUCAGUACGUGUCACUCACGUAAAGCUUCGACUAUGGUCACUAUCCUCCUUUCCACUAGUAUACCUAGGGCUUCCACUAUCUCCUACCAAAUUGCCCUUGAUAGCUUUCGACCCGAUCAUAGACAACUUUCAGAAAUUCCUCUUUGGAUGGGUGGCGUGCCUUCUCUCACAGGGCGCCAGGCUCACCCUGCUGACUGCGGUCCUCGACUCCCUAACAGUUUAUUUUAUGUCCGUUUUCAGACUACCAAAAUCGAUCCUAGCUAAACUUGACGCCAUUCGGAGGGUGUUCUUCUGGUCUAACGAGUCUACCUGUACUGGGGCGAGCUGCCUAGUUGCAUGGAAAAACGUUUGCAAACCAAAAGAUUAUGGUGGUCUAGGCAUUAAAAAUCUUGAAAUUCAGAACCGCUGCUUGCUCAUGAAAUUCUCCUCCAAAAUUCUACAACACCCAAACGUCCCGUGGACCUUGUGGUAUAACCACCAACACCCUCUUGGCAUUGCUACAAAAACUACACGACCCUCCUUUUUAUGGAAGAUUAUCAACAACAACUUGCCACUGCUAAUUGAACACUCCUUCGUGAUCACAUAUAAUGGUCUCUCCACCUUCUUCUGGCUUGAUAAAUGGCUUCUCCACUCACCACUACAAAAAGUUUUCCCAAACCUAUACUCACACUCCAUUGAUGACAAGGUGUUAGUGGCUACUGUUUGGCAAACCAGCUUAUUGACGAACCUGCGGAACCGUCUGUCUAAUGUUGCGGCUCGCGAGUUGGAUUGGGUGUUGUUGUUGUUGCAGGACUUUCAGCAGGUGGACCAACCGGACGAACGGUCUCUCACCCAUGGCCUGUCGUUCUCUGCCAAGAAUGCCUACUCCUCCAUAGUAGCUGAAGAUUCAACCGACCCACACCAUGAUCUAGUUUGGGCCUCCAAAUUCCCAAUCAAAGUCAAGGUCUUCGCAUGGCUCCUCCUCCGUGAUUGA
rnacentral:rRNA from 1 species